GAUGAAUGCUGGCGGCUUGCCUAACACAUGCAAGUCGAGCGGUAACGGGCCUUCGGGUGCCGACGAGCGGCGGACGGCUGAGUAACGCGUGGGAACAUACCCCAAAGUGAGGGAUAACCGCCCGAAAGGGUGGCUAAUACCGCAUAUGGUCUUCGGAUUAAAGGAUUUAUCCUCUUUGGGAAUGGCCUGCGUACGAUUAGAUAGUUGGUGAGGUAAUGGCUCACCAAGUCGACGAUCGUUAACUGGUUUGAGAGGAUGAUCAGUCAGACUGGAACUGAGACACGGUCCAGACUCCUACGGGAGGCAGCAGUGAGGAAUCUUCCACAAUGGGCGAAAGCCUGAUGGAGCAACGCCGCGUGCAGGAUGAAGGCCUUCGGGUUGUAAACUGCUUUUAUAAGUGAAGAAUAUGACGGUAACUUAUGAAUAAGCACCGGCUAACUACGUGCCAGCCGCCGCGGUAA
rnacentral:rRNA from 1 species